AACGAACGCUGGCGGCAGGCCUAACACAUGCAAGUCGAGCGCCCCGCAAGGGGAGCGACGGACGGGUGAGUAGCGCGUGGGAACGUGCCCUUUGCUACGGAAUAGCCCCGGGAAACUGGGAGUAAUACCGUAUAAGCCCUACGGGGGAAAGAUUUAUCGGCAAAGGAUCGGCCCGCGUUGGAUUAGGUAGUUGGUGGGGUAAUGGCCUACCAAGCCGACGAUCCAUAGCUGGUUUGAGAGGAUGAUCAGCCACACUGGGACUGAGACACGGCCCAGACUCCUACGGGAGGCAGCAGUGGGGAAUCUUAGACAAUGGGCGCAAGCCUGAUCUAGCCAUGCCGCGUGAGCGAUGAAGGCCUUAGGGUUGUAAAGCUCUUUCGUGGGGGAAGAUAAUGACUGUACCCCAAGAAGAAGCCCCGGCUAACUCCGUGCCAGCCGCCGCAGUAACAC
rnacentral:rRNA from 1 species